rnacentral:rRNA from 1 species
GACGAACGCUGGCGGCGUGCCUAAUACAUGCAAGUCGAACGCUGAAGGAGGAGCUUGCUUCUCUGGAUGAGUUGCGAACGGGUGAGUAACGCGUAGGUAACCUCCCUGUUAGCGGGGGAUAACUCUUGGAAACGCUAGCUAAUACCGCAUAAUAGUAGAUGUUGCAUGACAUUUGCUUAAAAGGUGCAAUUUCAUUACUACCAGAUGGACCUGCGUUGUCUUAGCUAGUUGGUGAGGUAACGGCUCAACAAGGCGACGAUACAUCGGCGACCUGAGAGGGUGAUCGGCCACACUGGGACUGGGACACGGCCCAGACUUCUAAGGGAAGGAGCAGGAGGGAAACCUUGGGAAAUGACGGAAAGCUGACCGAGCAAAGCCGGGGGAGUGAAGAAGGGUUUCGGAUCGUAAAGAUCUGUUGUAAGAGAAGAAAGAGUGGGGGAGUGGAAAGUGCACACUGUGACGGUACCUUACCAGAAAGCGACGGCUAACUACGUG